GACGAACGCUGGCGGCGUGCCUAAUACAUGCAAGUAGGACGCAGUUGCGAACGGGUGAGUAACGCGUAGGUAACUACCUAUUAGUGGGGGAUAACUAUUGGAAACGAUAGCUAAUACCGCAUACUAGUAGAUUGACCUGCGUUGUAUUAGCUAGUAGGUAGGGUAAUGGCCUACCUAGGCAACGAUACAUCGCCGACCUGAGAGGGUGGUCCGCCAAACUGGUGCUGAGUACAGGCCCCGACGCCAUAGGGAGGCAAGAGUAGGGAAUGUUCGGCAAUGGGGGGAACCCUGACCGAGCAACGCCGCGUUAGUUAAGAAGGUUUUCGGAUCGUAAAGCUCUGUUGUUAAGGAAGCGGUACUUAAACAGAAAGGGACGGCUAACUACGUGCCAGCAGCCGCGGUAAUUC
rnacentral:rRNA from 1 species